UACGAAGGGGGCUAGCGUUGCUCGGAAUCACUGGGCGUAAAGCGCACGUAGGCGGGUUGUUAAGUCAGGGGUGAAAUCCUGGAGCUCAACUCCAGAACGGCCUUUGAUACUGGCAAUCUCGAGUCCGGGAGAGGUGAGUGGAACUGCGAGUGUAGAGGUGAAAUUCGUAGAUAUUCGCAAGAACACCAGUGGCGAAGGCGGCUCACUGGCCCGGUACUGACGCUGAGGUGCGAAGGUCAGGGGAGCAAACGGG
rnacentral:rRNA from 1 species